AGUAACUGCGAGUGAAGYGGGAAAAGCUCAAAUUUAAAAUCUGGCGGUCUCCGGCCGUCCGAGUUGUAAUCUAGAGAAGUGUUAUCCGCGUUGGACCGUGUACAAGUCUCCUGGAAUGGAGCGUCAUAGAGGGUGAGAAUCCCGUCUUUGACACGGACUGCCAGGGCUUUGUGAUGCGCUCUCAAAGAGUCGAGUUGUUUGGGAAUGCAGCUCAAAAUGGGUGGUAAAUUCCAUCUAAAGCUAAAUAUUGGCGAGAGACCGAUAGCGAACAAGUACCGUGAGGGAAAGAUGAAAAGAACUUUGGAAAGAGAGUUAAACAGUACGUGAAAUUGCUGAAAGGGAAACGCUUGAAGUCAGUCGCGUUGGCCGGGGAUCAACCUUGCUUUUGCGGGGCGUAUUUUCCGGUUGACGGGUCAGCAUCAAUUUUGAUCGUUGGAUAAAGUCUAGGGGAAUGUGGCAUCUUCGGAUGUGUUAUAGCCCUUGGUCGCAUACAACGGUUGGGAUUGAGGAACUCAGCACGCCGCAAGGCCGGGUACUUGUACCACGUUCGUGCUUAGGAUGCUGGCAUAAUGGCUUUAAUCGACCCGUCUUGAAACACGGACCAAGGAGUCUAACAUGCCUGCGAGUGUUUGGGUGGAAAACUCGGACGCGCAAUGAAAGUGAAAGUUGAGAUCCCUGUCGCGGGGAGCAUCGACGCCCGGACCAGACCUUUUGUGACGGAUCCGCGGUAGAGCAUGUAUGUUGGGACCCGAAAGAUGGUGAACUAUGCCUGAAUAGGGUGAAGCCAGAGGAAACUCUGGUGGAGGCUCGUAGCGAUUCUGACGUGCAAAUCGAUCGUCAAAUUUGGGUAUAG
rnacentral:rRNA from 1 species